GUGCCAGCCGCCGCGGUAAUACGGAGGAUCCAAGCGUUAUCCGGAUUUAUUGGGUUUAAAGGGAGCGUAGGUUGACAUAUAAGUCAGCUGUGAAAGUUUACGGCUCAACCGUGAAAUUGCAGUUGAUACUGUAUGUCUUGAGUGUACAAGAGGUGGGCGGAAUUCGUGGUGUAGCGGUGAAAUGCUUAGAUAUCACGAAGAACUCCAAUUGCGAAGGCAGCUCACUGGGGUACAACUGACACUGAGGCUCGAAAGUGUGGGUAUCAAACAGGAUUAGAUACCCUGGUAGUCCACACAGUAAACGAUGAAUACUCGCUGUUUGCGAUAUACAGUAAGCGGCCAAGCGAAAGCAUUAAGUAUUCCACCUGGGGAGUACGCCGGCAACGGUGAAACUCAAAGGAAUUGACGGGGGCCCGCACAAGCGGAGGAACAUGUGGUUUAAUUCGAUGAUACGCGAGGAACCUUACCCGGGCUUGAAUUGCAGAGGAAUAUAGUUGAAAGAUUAUAGCCGCAAGGUCUCUGUGAAGGUGCUGCAUGGUUGUCGUCAGCUCGUGCCGUGAGGUGUCGGCUUAAGUGCCAUAACGAGCGCAACCCUUAUCAUUAGUUACUAACAGGUCAUGCUGAGGACUCUAGUGAGACUGCCGUCGUAAGAUGUGAGGAAGGUGGGGAUGACGUCAAAUCAGCACGGCCCUUACGUCCGGGGCUACACACGUGUUACAAUGGGGGGUACAGAGGGCAGCUACCGGGCGACCGGAUGCCAAUCCCAAAAACCUCUCUCAGUUCGGAUCGAAGUCUGCAACCCGACUUCGUGAAGCUGGAUUCGCUAGUAAUCGCGCAUCAGCCACGGCGCGGUGAAUACGUUCCCGGGCCUUGUACACACCGCCCGUCAAGCCAUGGGAGCCGGGGGUACCUGAAGUGCGUAACCGCAAGGAGCGUCCUAGGGUAAAACUGGUGACUGGGGCUAAGUCGUAACAAGGUAACC
rnacentral:rRNA from 1 species